rnacentral:misc_RNA from 1 species
AUUACCUUUUAGUACAGAAGCGUUGUGUGGGUUGAGUUGCGCUUGGGGGGUUGGCUACCUUUAGCUGGCUCCUUGAGUGGCAACUCCCCUCAUAAUACUCCCUGUAUAUCACCCUUGUCUUUGGCGCACCAUUGUUUCCUUGGCGGGCAUGCCCGCCAAUAGGACAAUCUUAUAACCUUUUUUAAUUUUCAAUCAGCGUCUGAAAUAAUUUUAAUAAUUACAACUUUCAACAACGGAUCUCUUGGUUCUGGCAUCGAUGAAGAACGCAGCGAAAUGCGAUAAGUAGUGUGAAUUGCAGAAUUCAGUGAAUCAUCGAAUCUUUGAACGCACAUUGCGCCCCUUGGUAUUCCAUGGGGCAUGCCUGUUCGAGCGUCAUUUGUACCCUCAAGCUAUGCUUGGUGUUGGGUGUUUGUCUCUUCUUUGUGAUGAGACUCGCCUUAAAAUAAUUGGCAGCCAGUGUUUUGGUUUUGAAGCGCAGCACAAGUCGCGAUUCAAGCCUAUAGCACCCGUUCCCAUAAAGCUCUCUUAUCACUUUUGACCUCGGAUCAGGUAGGGAUACCCGCUGAACUUAAGCAUAUCAAUAAGCGGAGGAAAAGAAACCAACAGGGAUUGCCCUAGUAACGGCCAAUGAAACGGCAAAAGCUCAAAUUUGAAAUCUGG